CUUCACUGACUUCUUAUUCUUUGGGAACAGUCUUCUAGAGUCACCAGUGACCUCCUUCUAAUCUAGACAAGUCCGGAGAAGGAAGAGGUGGAUUGAGAAGAGAUGCUGGGAAAUAUCUUCCAGGAAAAUGAAACAGCACAAGAAAAAUCAUAUUCUUCAGAAAUCAUAGGACAUAUGGUGAAGACAUUGAGGAAAAAUGUAAUGGAAACAGGUUUUAGGACGACGGUGAUAAUAGCAGAGGCAACUCCCCUAUCACCAGAUACCAACAGAAGUGGCCGAGGUCAUGCAAAAAUGUGGGAAAACAAAAAUUUGUGAAAUCCACCUCCUAAAAAUAUUAAGAAAUGAAGCUCGAAAAAAAGCAGAUUAAAUAAAGAAUAGAACAGUGACCUAAAACUUCUCCUCCUAUGACGAGCGAGUGCUCUCUGCUUGGGAAAGUAGAGAUUAGAGGAGACCAGUGGAUGGAAUCGAUGAGACUCCAAUUCAGAGGAAUUCAUAAGAAGCAAAAACUAGAAGACCAAAAGUUUUUAUCCCAGAGAAAUGGAGGAAGUACACUGGGCUUCUCCUGUUAGUAGAGGCCAAGUGUGACUGAAUUUCUUUCUUCUUUUAUAAGGACUUAUAAAUAGGGAAUAUCACUAAACCCACAAAAAUGGUGCUCUAUUCAAAAGGAUAAGACCACAUUUUCUUGGGUGGAAGAAGAAAAAUUAGAAGUAUUUUUAUUCUUAUUAUUGACAUGAUUCAAAAAGUUGUCCCAGCUAUGAAAAUUGAGCAAACAGUUGUGAAAGGCUAUAUUCUGAAAUCAUGAAAGAUUUCAUGGGAAUUUUUAAAAAGACUUAAUUACAAGAAGGUGAUGAAAAUUUGAUGGAGUACUCUUAAAACUGAAAAAUAAUGUUUGAAACUUUGAAAAUAUCUCCAAGAACCUAUGGGAUUAAAAAAUGGAAUUCUUGAGAGGAAAAAAAGAGAAAAUUGGACACAGAUUUAGAAAAAAAUCUACGCAAAGUAGAACAUAAAUCAGUAAGGAACAAAAGAAUAGAAAGAAGUAAAGAAGUAAAAGAAGAAAUUGUCCUAAAAUGAAGAAAGAUCCAAAUCUUUGAUUGAGAAGACUUGCCAAUUAUCAGAAAGAAAACAUGAUGUGAAACUUCUAAACCAUUGGAGGAAAAAGGAGAAAAGGUAACCUUAGAUAAGUGUCAUGACAGAAUAAUUGAAUAAGCAGUAACUGUAUACACUGAAUGUCAGCCAUCGUUAGUUCUAUCUUAUCUAAAUAUGGAAUAAGUUUACUUGUUUGUUAAUGCUUGUCAAUAUUUUACAUAUUUUUGUAAUAAACACAGAUUACAUAAUAAGAAUUUAUAUUUUGAG